AGUGGGAUAGCUGGGUCAAAUGGUGGUUCCAUUCCCAGAUUUCCAAGGAAUCUCCAUACUGCUUUCCAUAUUGGCUGUACCAAUUUGCAGUCCCACGAGCAAU
rnacentral:pre_miRNA from 1 species